rnacentral:rRNA from 1 species
GAUGAACGCUGGCGGCGUGCCUAAUACAUGCAAGUCGAGCGAACAGACGAGGAGCUUGCUCCUCUGACGUUAGCGGCGGACGGGUGAGUAACACGUGGAUAACCUACCUAUAAGACUGGGAUAACUUCGGGAAACCGGAGCUAAUACCGGAUAAUAUAUUGAACCGCAUGGUUCAAUAGUGAAAGACGGUUUUGCUGUCACUUAUAGAUGGAUCCGCGCCGCAUUAGCUAGUUGGUAAGGUAACGGCUUACCAAGGCAACGAUGCGUAGCCGACCUGAGAGGGUGAUCGGCCACCCUGGAACUGAUACACGGUCCAGACUCCUACGGGAGGCAGCAGUAGGGAAUCUUCCGCAAUGGGCGAAAGCCUGACGGAGCAACGCCGCGUGAGUGAUGAAGGUCUUCGGAUCGUAAAACUCUGUUAUUAGGGAAGAACAAAUGUGUAAGUAACUAUGCACGUCUUGACGGUACCUAAUCAGAAAGCCACGGCUAACUACGUG